GGAGAAAAGCAGGGGAUCGCAAGACCUUGCGCUCAUUGAGCGGCCGAUGCCUGAUUAGCUAGUUGGUGAGGUAAAGGCUUACCAAGGCGACGAUCAGUAGCUGGUCUGAGAGGACGACCAGCCACACUGGGACUGAGACACGGCCCAGACUCCUACGGGAGGCAGCAGUGGGGAAUUUUGGACAAUGGGGGAAACCCUGAUCCAGCCAUGCCGCGUGAGUGAAGAAGGCCUUCGGGUUGUAAAGCUCUUUCAGCCGGAACGAAACGGUCACGGCUAAUACCUGUGACUACUGACGGUACCGGAAGAAGAAGCACCGGCUAACUACGUGCCAGCAGCCGCGGUAAUACGUAGGGUGCGAGCGUUAAUCGGAAUUACUGGGCGUAAAGCGUGCGCAGGCGGUUUUGUAAGUCAGAAGGGGAAUCCCCGGGCUUAACCUGGGAACUGCGU
rnacentral:rRNA from 1 species